rnacentral:lncRNA from 1 species
AACUAGUGGUUAACUUUUGUAAAGUCCAGUAAUCACCAAGCAUCUAUGAAAUAAAAUUAUUCAUCCCAUUUUUUGGCCAGAACAAUUGAGUCACACGCAUGGUGUGCCUUGUCCAAAUUUUCUACUUUAGUACAGGGAGGGGCAGGAGUGGGUGGCUGGGGGGACCCUUUACCCUUUAAAUUUUUAGUUGACUAAUUUAGUGUCAAGUCUCAUUUUACAAAAGGAUCCUGAGGCUUAUAUUGGUGGUGUAAAUUGCCAACAAGGUCAAUGAACUAGAGAAAAUAAUGUCACGAUUCAGAGUAAGAGAAAGAAAAAUGGAUGGAUUGAUGUCUUAACCUUCAGAAUGUUCAAAUAAUUGGGGGUUGGAUGACAUGGCAUAUGGUUAAGUCUUCUUGCAGCUGAUGUCACCCAGACUUUCCCCUUUUUUUGCCACCCAAACUGCAUGUAAACAAACAGUCCAACAACAAGUGUCCUCAAGCAGGGCGCUCCAUGCUUGGAGCAAUCUAGUUUGCCGCCACCAGACACGGCUCUGCUUGGACACCACAGCGCCUAACUCCAGACUUGCCCCUAAAGUCGUUCAAUGAUCACCCUCUUUUCCUUCCUUCUCUUCCUUUAGCUGCACGAGAGAGAGAGAGAGAGAGAGAGAGAGAGAGAGAGAGAGAGAGAACCUCAUGCCUCCCUAGUAUGCUUCAACUGCUUCUCCCCAUGCCUCAAUUCCCCUUCCCUGCCGCCUUCUGUCAUUUUCAGGUAGUGGAAUUUGCUGACCCUGGCCGCUUGGCGGCCUAAGCCUGGACGUGGCAAAAGUCAGAUAGUCACAGUGCACUAUUGAGUUCAUCUGUGUCACAAAAGGGCUUUUGCUUUAGAUCUCUAGUUUGGUUCAGUAAUUUCCAUGGACUUCCUUCCUUCACUGAAAAGAGAGGCCAAAUCAUAUGCUUCUUCCUCAUUUUACCUCAAGGAACAGGUUACACAAGUUAAACAAUCACACCAGCAUUAAUUUUCUAAAAAAAAAAAAAAAAAAGGAGUAAAUUUUCACUUUCUGAGGUGGCAAGGAAAAUUCCUCAAACAAAGAGACCACUCUUUUACUGUAAACAAAUGUACUUACAAUUUUUUUACUCCCUAAUUCUUUGGGAAAUAAUUUUUUAAGUCCUUCCUAAGUGUUUUAGACUAAGCCACCUUUUUCUCUGUUAGCUUCUUUUUACUCAUCAAGAUUAUCUGUUGGCAGACAGCUGCAUGAUCUAUGACCCACACCCUAAAAAAAGGGAGCAGUUUGAAAGUGACUAUAAAUUUUAUUCAUUCUCUGGCCAAAGUUAUCUUAUGAAGUAUUGAUAACACAUUAUCUUACAGAGCAGAAUAAUACUGCACAAAAUGAUACUAAGAGGUUUAAGACUCCUGCCUUACUGAAAGUUAUUAUUCAGAAGUUUACAUAGUCUGCAAACACUUAUCAGAAGCCCUGGGCAGAAAGAACAGAACCUCCGUUUCAUUAAGAUACAGUGGAAUGUUAGAGGUUUAGGACAGAUAAAGGCCAAUUCUCAAAAGUUCAAAAUCUUCCUUGAUGAUAAACAACGACAUAAAUUAAAAUGAAUGUCUCUUGGAGGUGAAGACCUGAAUAUGGGUAUUCAUACAUGACUAUAAAGUUUUACCAAGACCUGCCUUUCUCAAUUUAUUAUGGUGGAAAAUCACAGAAUCACUGUACAAAUCACUUUUGUAUUGAGCCCAAAGAGGUCACACUGUUGCAUAUAUGCUCUUUUAGUGAAGAAAUUCCUGAUACAAGCAAUAUCAAAAUAUUCAGUUAAAUUAUUUAAAAAAUUUAGUUUCAUAUCAUCAGAACUACCCAGAAUCUAUAUAAGUUCAUGAAUAUGCUUUACAUAAUGUAACUCACUAACAUAGGAAAAGAAAGCUAUGUACUGUUAGGCUCACUCAAUUUUCAAGCCAAGGAACAUAUUUAUUGUUAAGACUUAUAAGAAUAAGAAAUCACUCUUCCCUUAUUCUUCAAAUAUUUUUUGCAAAAUAAAUUAAUCAAUACCUACAGGAACACCUAAUUUACUAUUUUUGAAAGAGGUAAAAUAAAGAUUUAAGUGAUGAGUUUAUUCAAAAUUUCAAAUUGCCUGACAAGUUAAGAUAUAGUAAACAUAUAUUUUAUGAAGACAUCUUGAUUUUUUUUGGUGAAUAAUUUACCUUUCCUUACAAAGCAUGUAUAUUUUAAUAGAAAGACACUUUAGGUAUAUUUUUCUCAAUACUAUUUUUGAACUUACAACACUGAUAUCAGUUUAAGUUUUUUUAAAAAAUCUGCACUCGCCUUUUUUCUGCACAUACAUUGCGUGGCACAGAAAGCAUUUUGGAGUAUUGUAACAUAGUUGCACUUAGAAAUAAUGGCAAAAUUCUCAUGUGCUGUCCCAUUUUUACUGGACUUUUCAAAGAGUAAAAUUUCAUUAUUUUUCAAUGAUAUUUAAUUUUCACAUGACACUUUCUGAAAUGUUAAUGCAGUCCCUUAUCAAUGUAG